CAAGCUAGAUCUUGUUAAAGAGUUUUAUUUACACUAAAAAUAAUCGUAUAGUUUACGAUGGUUUGA
rnacentral:tRNA from 1 species